UCACCAUACUAAAUCUCAUCCAAUCCCCACGUUGAACCAAAUCUCACCCGAUCCACUCUAAUUUCGUUUAAGGUGCACCAAAUUCAUGAAUUAGACGAAAGAUCAUACAAUUUUGUUCGAGAAAAAAAAAUAUUAAAUAAUUUUGAAACAAAAUAUUUAGGUCAUGAAACAAACACUUGUAUUACCUGCCAGAGUUCUUCAGUAAUUUUAGUAUACCUGUCGAGAAAUCAUCACAUAGUUUGAUUGUUAAGAAUCGAAGCAAAUAACAGGGAAAUUCUCAAACUAAAUUAAAUUCACAGGCACCUUUACCGCCGUUUGCACGAAAGGAAGAAGAAAUCGGGCUGGAGUGCAC
rnacentral:lncRNA from 1 species